rfam:Nematostella vectensis strain CH2 x CH6 NEMVEscaffold_84_Cont11324, whole genome shotgun sequence.
ACAACGGCUCUUUUAGGAGCCACCAAAAUGACUUUGAAGUCAUUA